AGUGAACGCUGGCGGUAGGCCUAACACAUGCAAGUCGAACGGCAGCACAGUAAGAGCUUGCUCUUACGGGUGGCGAGUGGCGGACGGGUGAGGAAUACAUCGGAAUCUACUUUUUCGUGGGGGAUAACGUAGGGAAACUUACGCUAAUACCGCAUACGACCUACGGGUGAAAGCAGGGGAUCUUCGGACCUUGCGCGAUUGAAUGAGCCGAUGUCGGAUUAGCUAGUUGGCGGGGUAAAGGCCCACCAAGGCGACGAUCCGUAGCUGGUCUGAGAGGAUGAUCGGCCACACUGGAACUGAGACACGGUCCAGAGUCCUACGGGAGGCAGCAGUGGGGAAUAUUGGACAAUGGGCGCAAGCCUGAUCCAGCCAUACCGCGUGGGUGAAGAAGGCCUUCGGGUUGUAAAGCCCUUUUGUUGGGAAAGAAAAGCAGCAGGUUAAUACCCCGCUGUUCUGACGGUACCCAAAGAAUAAGCACCGGCUAACUUCGUG
rnacentral:rRNA from 1 species